rnacentral:siRNA from 1 species
CGCGCCGAGAGUGAAGCAGUGC